rnacentral:snoRNA from 1 species
GUAUGAAUUAAAGUAUUCCAUAACAGGACAAAUCAUGGCCCUGAAUGAUUGCUAGCAUCUGACCAGAGGCUACAGGCACUGAAGUAGAUUAUACAAUU